rnacentral:rRNA from 1 species
UUUAGCAAACCUGGCGGCGUGCCUAAUCAUGCAAGUAGAACGCUGAAGACUUUAGCUUGCUAAAGUUGGAAGAGUUGCGAACGGGUGAGUAACGCGUAGGUAACCUGCCUACUAGCGGGGGAUAACUAUUGGAAACGAUAGCUAAUACCGCAUAACAGCAUUUAACCCAUGUUAGAUGCUUGAAAGGAGCAAUUGCUUCACUAGUAGAUGGACCUGCGUUGUAUUAGCUAGUUGGUGAGGUAACGGCUCACCAAGGCGACGAUACAUAGCCGACCUGAGAGGGUGAUCGGCCACACUGGGACUGAGACACGGCCCAGACUCCUACGGGAGGCAGCAGUAGGGAAUCUUCGGCAAUGGGGGCAACCCUGACCGAGCAACGCCGCGUGAGUGAAGAAGGUUUUCGGAUCGUAAAGCUCUGUUGUAAGAGAAGAACGUGUGUGAGAGUGGAAAGUUCACACAGUGACGGUAACUUACCAGAAAGGGACGGCUAACUACGUGCCAGCAGCCGCGGUAAU